GUCCAGCUAUCGAGUCCCAAAUAGGACGAAACACGCGUCCUGGAU
rfam:Schistosoma rodhaini strain Burundi genome assembly, scaffold: SROB_scaffold0002913